GAUCUUGUUCCGGACUCUGCAGUACUUCACCUCCUCCACCUUCACGUAGGACAGACACUCUUCGCAGCACUGGUCGCCUUGACAGCUUCCCGGCCGAGAGCACCGCUUCUUGCACACCACUGUGGAAUCCUGGGUCGGUACCUUGCAGGUGCAGGUGGUGCAGUUGUUGUGUAUGAAGCAAGUGCCGUUCUCAUAAACUUCACUGUGGAACAGACAGCUUCCCAACGAGAGGUCGAACACUUUCCUCUGACCUGAAGGAGGAGGAGAGAGUCAAACAUCGACACGGCUUCUACACCUGCAGAGGGUUUUACAUCAACCUUCACACAGGUGACGGCUCAGAAAGGAGACCACUGGUAUUUACCGAGACAUCUGGGGCAGCACUGUCCAGGAGGGGUGUGGCUGAGGUGGGCGGGGCAUGACAGGACAGGACACACCUCCCUCAUGCAGAGAGUCCGGCCUCCCUGAAACAACAACAACAUGCAAAUAAAAUGCCUGCAGGUCGACCGACGAGGUGAGAGCACGUUAAUGCUGUAAUGUGUUUAUGGACGUACCUGUAGAGUUGUUUGUGUAACAGACGACCCUCGAAGAUGCAGCCUGCAGGAAGACGAACGUCACUCAUUUUAAGUAUAAAUCUAAAUAAUCUCAACAUAUAAUCUGUUUGUGUUUUGUUCCAAACAUGCGUCAGUGAUCAGAAAAAAAUCAUUUUCAAUAUGGCUGAUGCACUAAAUCUGGUUUAGAGUCUCUAAAGUUUGGAGGCAGUGACUGUAACAUGUUUCAUGUGUUUUUGUCUGUUCCUCUGAAAGUAUCCAGUUUGAUUAAUGUCUCACUGGUUAUUAAAAAAACA